rnacentral:rRNA from 1 species
AUUUGGAGAGGAUGCUUCUGGCGCGGCGCCGUCCGAGUUCCUUGGAACAGGACGCCAUAGAGGGUGAGAGCCCCGUACGGGCGGCCGCCUAGCCUUUGUGAAGCUCCUUCGACGAGUCGAGUAGUUUGGGAAUGCUGCUCAAAAUGGGAGGUAAAUUUCUUCUAAAGCUAAAUACCGGCCAGAGACCGAUAGCGCACAAGUAGAGUGAUCGAAAGAUGAAAAGCACUUUGAAAAGAGGGUUAAAAAGUACGUGAAAUUGUUGAAAGGGAAGCGCCUGUGACCAGACUUGCGGCCCGCGGAUCAUCCGGUGUUCUUCACCGGUGCACUCCGCGGGCUGCAGGCCAGCAUCGGUUUUCCUAGGGGGAGAAAGGUCGCGGGAACGUAGCUCUUUCGGGAGUGUUAUAGCCCGUGGCGUCAUGCCCCUGGGGGGACCGAGGACCGCGCUUCGGCAAGGAUGCUGGCGUAAUGGUCACCGGCGACCCGUCUUGAAACACGGACCAAGGAGUCAAGCAUUGGGGCGAGUGUCUGGGUGCCAAACCCGCACGCGAAAUGAAAGUAAACGCAGGUGAGAGCUUCGGCGCAUCACCGACCGAUCCUGAUGUCUUCGGAUGGAUUUGAGUAAGAGCCUUACCGCUUGGACCCGAAAGAUGGUGAACUAUGCCUGUAUAGGGUGAAGCCAGAGGAAACUCUGGUGGAGG